ensembl:rRNA 5S_rRNA 5S ribosomal RNA
CCUAUCACCUAAAGCACUCUAGUCAACUCUCACUGGUUGUCCACUGAAGCUAAGCGGGGCCGUGCCUGGUCAGUACCUGAAUGGGAGACCAGAUGGGAAAUCUUGGUUGUUGCCGGAA